rnacentral:rRNA from 1 species
CGGGGGGAGCAAGCGUUGUUCGGAUUUACUGGGCGUAAAGGGCGCGUAGGCGGUCGUGACAAGUCACUUGUGAAAUCUCCGGGCUUAACUCGGAGCGGUCAAGUGAUACUGUCGGACUAGAGUACAGAAGGGGCAACUGGAAUUCUCGGUGUAGCGGUGAAAUGCGUAGAUAUCGAGAGGAACACCUGCGGCGAAGGCGGGUUGCUGGGCUGAUACUGACGCUGAGGCGCGAAAGCCAGGGGAGCGAACGGGAUUAGAUACCCCGGUAGUCCUGGCCUUAAACGAUGAAUGCUUGGUGUCUCGGGUUAUAAAGUCCCGGGGUGCCGUCGCUAACGCUUUUAGCAUUCCGCCUGGGGAGUACGGUCGCGAGACUG